rnacentral:lncRNA from 1 species
AGGAAACAUAGGAUGAACUCUUUUCAUAUAAAAAAUCCUUGCUAAAGCUCUCCCCAGCAAAAAGGAAGCCUUCUGGGCAUUGCUGGCAGCAGUUCCCAGAACAUCUUGCACCACCAAAUGCAGCACGCUCCUUUUUUUCACAGGCCCCUCGUUUCUCUCGUCAGCGUCAGAUUCACUCCACUUCAAAUACACCCAUUGGAACAGCCCUUCCGUUCUGCUGAGGUAGGAACCCACUGCUGGGAUAUCCCCCACUCCCGUUCCCGGCUAUGUCCAGCACCAGGGGGGAAAGGAAGAGACACUGACAUCACCUACCCAGACUUCUUGCAGGGCCUUCCAUAUGCUCUCUCACAGGUAGAAGCGGCACAGCUCUCGUGGCACAAAGCUCGGAGAAGGCUGCAGAAAUCAAGGUUGCCGCGAAGGUGCUGCUUUCAAACAACGUGACUUAGCGGGCACGAGACGGGAAAGACAAGGUUCCGGUUCAGAAGCCUCCAAUCCCCGUGGAUGUGGCUGUCUGCAAAGACCACAGCUGCCUUCGGUGAUUGGUCCAGCUGACUUUCAGAGAAACCUGAAAGCUUACUGACUAAUGUACUAGCCUUAUGAAGAUGCCAGCUAAAAGACGUCGUCAGCCUUGUGGAUUACGUCGAAACCAUGGCUUUUGUUCUAAAGAUCAGAGUGAGUGUGGUGUGAGUGAGAUGCGUUCCUUGCAGAGAAUGAGUGUCAGCCUGUUUGUGUAGGACUGUCUUCUGAUUGCGGGGAAGCGUGUCAAGGCAGGUGGACAGGCUUCUGUGAGAUCUGUGAGAUCCAAGUGUUCACAUCUGAACAAGAUCAGUAGGCGGUGUCCAGGGUUGCCUGUGGAAACUCUGAGGAAAUUAGGAAUCAAGAAGAAUUUGGUCAACAUCGUGGGAGGCUCCCAGGGGAAGGAAAUUCCCAAAGAAACCCCGUUGGGAUGUGCACUGGCACACUGGUGGGAUACUGCAGGGGAACCUGGAGGCACCUUGAGGAAGAAAACUCUCAUCAAGUAUUGCAAUCAGUGGUGCUUAAUGUGGAAGGUAGAAGAUGAUGAGAAGCGGCAUCGGAAAGGGGA